rnacentral:rRNA from 1 species
CCCUUAGAUGUUCUGGGCAGCACGCGCGCUACACUGAAGCUAUCAACACGUUUUCCCUCCCUGAGAAGGGCGGGUAACCUUUUGAAUCAGCUUCGUGGUAGGGAUCGGGGCUUGCAAUUGUUCCCCGUGAACCAGGAAUUCCUAGUAGACGCGAGUCAUAAGCUCGCAUCGAUUAAGUCCCUGCCCUUUGUACACACCGCCCGUCGCUACUACCGAUUGAACGUUUUAGUGAGGCAUUUGGACCGACGCAUCUCAGUUUAACCGCUGGUUUGUGUUGGAAAGACUUCCAAACUUGAGCGUUUAGAGGAAGUAAAAGUCGUAACA